GGCUAUGGCCAUAUCACGAUGAAUGCACCUCAUCCCGUCCGAUUUGAGAAGUUAAGCAUCGUCGAGCCACAUCAGUACUGAGGUUGGAGACAACUUGGGAACCUGUGGUGCUGUAGUCU
rnacentral:rRNA from 1 species